UACGGAGGGUGCAAGCGUUAUCCGGAUUUACUGGGUUUAAAGGGUGCGUAGGUGGGUAGGUAAGUCAGUGGUGAAAUCUUCAAGCUUAACUUGGAAACUGCCAUUGAUACUAUUUAUCUUGAAUACUUUUGGAGGUAAGCGGAAUAUGUCAUGUAGCGGUGAAAUGCUUAGAUAUGACAUAGAACACCAAUUGCGAAGGCAGCUUACUACGGAUUGAUUGACACUGAGGCACGAAAGCUGGGGAUCAAACGG
rnacentral:rRNA from 1 species